CCGGAAGCUUGGCGCCCCAGAGUACUUCCUGUUUGGGAGACCAUCCAGGAAGCAGCAACGAGUGUCGAGUGUGUCGUGUCGCAUGUUCUCAAAGCGUGGGACACCUCGGUGAUUUUGGGGAACUGAUCUGAUGCUUAGCUCUCCGCCCUGUGCUGCUAAACCAGCUGUGUGCAUCUUGUUGAUCGCCAUGGCCCAGGUGGCCGGCCAGGAAGACGGAGAGAAAACCACAGCGCUCAAAGACUUGCUGUCAAG